ACCAUACUUGAUUUUAAAUAUUUAAGACCAAGUUAAAUUGGGGGGUUGUCAAAACUCUAUCAUUGGUAAAUUAACCUCGGAAACAACAUAAAUUGAUACAGAAAUUUCAGACUAUUCAUGAUAAGGUGGAUAGUCGAGACGGAAACAGCCGUGAACAUAGAAAAAGGUCCCAAAGUAAUGAUUAAGUGAAAAUAAGGAUGUUGUGGUUCGUAUACAACUAUAAAGUUAGCUUGGAAGUUGCUAUCUUUUAAUGAAAGUGUAACAACUUAGUAGUCUAAUGAAACACAGCGCCGAAAAUUAACGGGUCUAGAUCAUUCACCGAAACUAUGUCUAUAUAUUCUAAAAAUAUAAGGAAUAUAUUAGGGUAGAGGAGCAUUCAGUAUGGUAGAAGAAUAGUGUUUCAUUAUUUAGACAUUACUGAAGAGAUUAUGCUAACAUGAGUAACGUAGAAAGAAGUUAUAAUACUUCUCGCCGAAUGCGAAAGGGUUUCAAAGCAAUGUUAAACAGCUUUGAUUGAGAACGGUCUCUAAGGUGUAUCACUAAUGUGGAAACUGAUGAGUUUUGGGUAGAAAGUUUUUAUCCAAGAAAAUAAUACGAAUAUUAUACCUAUGGUAAUAAUAUUAAUAAUAUGACCGUACCCUAAACUGACACAAGUUCGUAGGUAGAGAAUACUAAGGCGUAGAGAUAAUACUGUAUAAGGAACUCGGCAAAAUGCGUCCGUAAGCUAGACAAUAAGGAUGACCACAAAGGUGUCACAGAAUCGUGAAGCACAACUGUUUACCAAAAACACAGGUAUCUGCCAUGUUUAAUUACAUUGUAUAGGUGCUGAAUCUUGUCCGAUGUCCAGAGUAUAAUAUAGGUGAAGAAGUUAAAGUAGUUUAAACGUCAUGUGGUUUAGUGGCGCUAUGGGCAUGAUAUCUUAUAUGAGUAUUUAAUAGAUAUAAUUGAGAGGUAUUUUAAAUGUAAUAUGGGUAAAUGAAUUAUAUAAGAACGAAAUUUAGUAGUCAUUUAUAGAAGCUCCGAUCAAUGACAGACUUAACUAUAAGGUUUUUAACAGUAGCGAAAUUAGAAAAUAUAAUAUGCGGUCCCAGGUAGUUAGGGAAUAUUCAACCGCAAUAUUUUCGUUGUUCUCUGCUCUCACCAAAUAUUUCCGUAAAACAUCAUACGGAAUGGUGUGCAUCCCUCUAUAUGCUGGAACACCCUAAAGCUCAAAGUACUCGUAAAAUUUGAUGGAGAGUGACAAUCUUUGUAGAUGUAACAAUGGGCAAUCAGCAGGAAACCAAAUCAUAAUUUUAUGAGAGUAGGAUCCUCAGAGACUACACGAGGGAAAUUUAACAUAUUAAUUAGGGGAUUAUUUUCGAGAUCGGUUCAUUGUAGCUUUAAUAGUUAGGAUUUUGUCUAGACCAGUUUGAGAUAAAUGUUCUUUAUUGAGCAUCAUAUUAUAGACUUCUCGGAAACAUUGAGCAUCUAAUGCUUUUUGUGUUUGAAGAGGAUAUUGGUCUAGUAGAUUGAAUAAUACUGGAAGGUGUUUAAACGAUCGAAUACGAAAUUGAACUUUUGUUGGACCAUCUUUAACGAUUAAUCCAACAUUCCCAAAAAAUGGAAUAAAUUGAUUUAUUAAUUGGAGGUCUCGAAUAUGUUGAGUAAUUGCGAAUUGUAAUUGAACUUGAUAACCAAGUCUCAUUGUAUUGUUUGUAAGAAUCCCAACAUGGAAAGUUCCUUCACCAUCAAUAAAGCCAGUAACCCAUGCUGGGUUUAGAAUAUUGGGGUUAAAUUUCAUUUAAUUAAUGUGUUUGCCCUAAUUUAAAGAGCUUAGAGAAUUAUAGAUUUGGGGUCCAAAUCUACUUUUAAAUUGAAGGUUAGGUUAUUAAUAUGGUUAAAUUAAGAUAUAGUCCGAUCUUGCAUGAAAGUGUAAGCUAACAUAAUGAGCGAAAUUCCUUGGCCGUUAAAUGCGGUCCUGCAUGAAUAGAGUAAUGAUGCUUCAGCUGUCUCAUACAGUAUCUCAGUGAAAUUGAAUUAGCCGUGAAGAUGCGGUUUAAAUGUGGGUAGACGGGAAGACCCUAUGCAGCUUUACUAUAAUUAGUUAUUAUUCCCAUCUGAAACAAUUGUAGUGUAGAGGGCAGUCGUAAGACGUUAAUGAAACACCCUUAUUAAUUUCGGGUGGGGAUUAAUCCAAACAGGGACAAGUCUAACAUUUUUAUUUGUUUACAAUUAUGGCAAUUUUGUAAAAUUAGCAAGUAUGAAAGUUAGGGUUGAUCAAUGUGGAAAAAAUGACUAGCUGGUAGUUUAACUGGGACGGUUUCCUCCAAUAGAGUAUCGGAGGACUUCAAAGGUAUGUUUGUAUUAGAUGGAUACUAAUUCGUUAUGUAGAACGUAUAGAAAUGUAAAGGUAAAACAUGCUUAACUGUGAGACUGAUAAGUCAAACAGAUACGUAAGUAGGACUUAGUGAACCGGUGAUUCUUUAUGGAAAGGUCAUCGAUUAAGAAAUAAAAGUUACGCUAGGGAUAACAGGGUAAUAGCUCUCGAGAGUUCAUAUUGUCAGAGCUGUUUGCCACCUCGAUGUCGACUCACCUUAUCCUCCUGGUGUAUAAGCUGGGAAGGGUUCUGCUGUUCGCAGAUUAAAAAGGUACGCGAGUUGGGUUCAAUACGAUGUGAGUCAGUAUGGUUCCUAUCUUCCACAUUAAUGAAUAGUCAAAUUUAGAUGGGUCCUUAGUACGAAAGGACCAGGAUCUGCGUUUCUCUGGUGUACCAAUUGUUGAUAUUUUUCUCUAUCGGCACCGUUGGGUAGCUACAAACGUUAAGGAUAAAAGCUGAAAGCAUAUAAGCUAUUGAAGCCUACUAAAGGCGACUAUAUAAAUACACUAUUUUAGUGUA
rnacentral:rRNA from 1 species